rnacentral:tRNA from 1 species
ACAAAGCAUCUCGCUUACACCGAGGAUACACCCGUGAAAACCUGGUUAUUUCGA